CUGGCCAGCCCGGGUUGUCUGGGUAACCUAGGCAGACAGCGUUUAGAGGCAAACGCUGACCCUCUCACCACUUUCUUGUGGGACUACCCUAAACUCGGAGAGCCGUAACACUGCAGAGUCAUCCCGACUUCGCUGGAUCCGUAAAACAGUAAAACUAAACGCUUCCCUGGAUUCCGUCAGUUUUGUCUGGUAUUUGUCUAAGGAGAUGUCGUGACCUGUGCACAAUAAGGCAGAGUUACGGUUUCCCUGCCGGGCAGGGCGGACUACUCUAAACCGGGAGCCCCGGCAGUUCAGUGGCAGGUGCUUCCUUCCGAGCGCUGGUUCCCUGCAUCCGCCUCCCCGGGGGCUUUUGCGGAAACAAAAAAGUUCCAUUAUCACUCUGAAGUGACCUGGGAAGUCCACAUGUAGGAGUAAUGUCUUUAAUCAAGUCUUACCGACUUUUUGCCUUUUGAGUUGGAGAAGGAUACACUUUUAUACACCCAGCGAAGGUGUCAGCACAAACUAAGAGCUGUUUCAGAGUGGUCUCCAUCAUAAGGAUGAUCAAGUGCAAGAAGUCUGGACCCUACUCCAAGUGUGAGAAAGUCAAUAUGCCUAGUUCAUGGCACUGGAGGGUGGAUUGUCCCUGCUCCCAGAGAGAAGAUAAGCCAACCAGAACCUUUGUCUCCUGCUCUGAAGAAGCCCAAGGGAACCUACAAUACUCCUGUCUGUGGAUAUGACCAUCUCCUACACAGAACCCUGGAUAACACUGGACAUCAUAGUUUGCGAGAGCAAGUGCCUCUUGUCCUCAGUACCUUUGUGUGCAAGCACCCGUUUCCCAGCGGCGCAGGAGUCUCUAACUGUAAAGAGGAAAAAACCCUAAGCUGCACAAGUUUGUAGAGAGAGAGAAGUCUGUUUGGAAAGAGGAAAAGACAAGCUACGCUUUGGUGGUAAAGGCGUGGGAAAGCACACUUCAGAGGAACGGGGCUUGGACGAGAAGUCGGGGAGAAGAAAAACUAAAAGUCUUUUUGCCAGACUUACUGAAGCUACCCUCUCCAUGCUUCUUUCUCCCUCCUGGCUGACUUGCCAAGAAAAAAGGCCACUGGUCUGGAUCCGAGGGAGCCUGGGGCUGGAAUAAGGAACUUAAAUUCCUUUCUGUAGCAGGUUCACUGACUCCCAUCACAGAAAGAGAAUGUUCAGGGCACAUCAGUAAAAGGCAAGAGAAGGGUGUAGGAGACAGAGACUUUAGGACACUGUCAAGGAUGGAGAGCAGGAGAGAAAGGAAGCACCCUACAGUGUGGGACUGGGGACACUGAUGCUUCCUUGAGGGGAUAGAAAAGCCCAGGGAAAGGCGGCCCACCUCCCAUCAGAGGGAUGUUAGCCCAUUGUAGAGGUGUGGGCUUUCUUUUCAGCAGGUAAUUUGAACAUUCUUUCGGUUUGCUCAGACUGAUCCUUUAUCUUGGGAUCAGGUUCUGUUCCUUACUUUUUCAAUUAAGGCAGUUUAUGGACUUCAAUAUUUCUAAGGAAUUUGAGGUAUGAUGGCUUUGAUAGGGAAGGAGUAAACUUAACCAAAGGAAUCACGUUGGGUAGUUUUGGUUAGUUCCUGAAAGCUGCAGUCUUCUUAAAAACACAAUUUUAUGAUUAUGAUUUGCUUGUCUCCUUUCUACCUUUAUUUCUUCUAUUUUACCUCAGGAUAAUGCAUAUUAAAGGACUAUUUAACACAUCUGAGACUAGUAAGAGCUUAGCAAGUGUCAGUUCCUAUCCUUCCCUCCUGCAAAGCUGAGGCCUGGGAUACAGUGACUUUCUCCUGCACUUCUGGCUCUGUCUCCUGCUUGUCUGCCUGGGAGACAUCUGCAGAGUUCUGUAAGGGUCACAAGGACUGAGCUCUAGUAGAUAAAUUUCAGGCUGAUCACAAGGAAGGCUCUGCCUCUCUAGUGAAAAAUAAAAUCUACAUAAGUG